CGGGGCCGUGGGUGGGUGCUGUUUCUCACUUCAGUCCUGUGGUUAUUCUGUCUCAUCGCCAGACCCUGAAGAUCUUGAAGGGACAAAGGUCUAAGCAUCCUGUUCACUGCAGCAGAGCGUCUGCCCCGAGAAUGAUGUGAGGAGCCCGUAAACAAGCUUUACUUCUCCUGCACCACUGAUGGACAGCAUCGUGGCAGCAUGUAUCAAAGUGAAAAAUCCUUACAAUGCUAGUAUCAAUCCUCACAAGCUUUCACAAGGUGUAAAUGAGAUGAUCCCAAGAAGAGUUUUCUCAGGGCCUGGCACAGAAUAAAUGUG